rnacentral:tRNA from 1 species
GUCUUGGUAGCUCAGCAGGAUAGAGCAAUGCCCUUCUAAGGCAUCGGUCGGGAGUUCGAAUCUCUCCCAAGACACCA